ensembl:lncRNA
GGGACGCCGAGUGCUCUUUCCAUUCCCGCUAUCGCCUCCGUCUCAUCUCCUCGGCCUCAAAUGUGGUUUCCUUGAAAGCGUUCUCCUCGAUGUAAAUACCAAAUCGGGCUCUUUCUGCACACGUGCACCGGAUGGAGAUUGGUUUUGAUGUUUUAUCACGCCGUCUCUCGAGUAAAAGCGUGUAACGGCAGCAGCGACUUGACAGAGAGGAGCGUUUCUGGGGCGCUUUUGGCCGCGCUGAACACUCGGGGAAGAUCAAAACACAAAGACAAGGCUCAGCAGGCCGCGGCGGCCCUUGGAGCGUCCCACUACGACGGAGCCACGGCGGCCGCAGACUUCAAUCUCAUGGCUCGGGGCGGCGCUCAUCGCGAUACCACAGAGUGCCGCCUCGCCUGGAUCUCUCUUUUUCUUUCCCUCAGAGCCCUGGCUUUCUUUUUGGAGCAGCAGCAGCGGCGAGCGUGCGUUCCCUGGCUCAAUUUUCAAUAGAGCUCAGCCGGGAGAAGCUGGGGAACGGCUAUCACAACAAUUACACUGACAGCUCUUUUCUAAAGUGCACUUGAUUUAUUUGAUUUAGCUCGGAUUAAUGGCCCUCCCUGCAAGCAGGCCCGGCUGAGGACGUGCAGUGAGACACAGACACCAUGUGGACGGACGCGUUCCCACAGCUCGCUGCUAGAGGGAGACACUUGUCCCUCCACCGCGCGCCAGGAAGCGCUACGUCCGUCCGGCCGGCCGGCUGGCUGGCUGACAGUUGCCAGGCCAGCGGUCCGGUGCUGUUGGCAGCGACGAGCGGCCCAUCUGCCAAAGUUGACGCGUUCGCUCCCACGCCGCCGUCCAGGAGGACCAAAAUGUGCCGCGGCGUCCUGGCAAAGCUCCCCGAAACGUCGACCUGGCGUGACAAACCCAUGCUGGCCCCUCGCAGGCCGCAGUGUGGGGGGCUUCUGCCCCGGAUCAGACAGGGAGCCAGGAACAUGCCACCCAAACAAGCGGCGCUGAUCGACUACCGGGGCGCUACCAUAUUGUCCAGGGUGGAUGGAGCUUGUCCACUCGGGCAGAGGAUGACUGUUCUCAUUACUGGGCCUGAACCUUACGAAACUUUGGCUUUUCACUGCUUGAUGGAGGGCAGCUGGACACAAAUUGAGACAUCGCGAGCAGGGAAUCCGUUCUGGGAACACACUUGGACGCUCCGCUGGAGUAAUACGGUUUGGGAUUGUUAUGAACAAAACCAAUUUUAACUCGCCGUCGCCGCCGCCUCUUACAAGCCAAAAAUAACGGGCGUAAAAGGCAAAUAACAGAAGGAACACGUUUUCUCUCGUUGGAGCAGAUGGUCUUGGAGGUGCGGUGAAGGGGGUCCGAUGAUGUCUGACUCCGUCCCGCUGCCCCUCAAGGCAGAAACUGUGACUGGUCAUCAACUCGGGGGAGCAGGAGAGAGACGGCAGUGCAGCGGUAGUUAGCAGCCACUAUGCGGUUGAGUCCUCCUCGUCUGUGCUAAACAACAACAACAACAACAAGUACAGCUUGCCCGCUGGUUGAGUGUGAACGCAACGCAUCAUUUAAAAAAAACCUACGUGAGGAGAAAAGAAACAACCUUGUUUUGCAAGCCCGAGGCAGCCGAGCGGGGAAAGGUGUGUUCCUACUCCGCUGCGUCUCAUCACUCACUGAAUCUGAGGCCACGUCGGGGGGGGGGGGGGGGGGGGGGGGCGCCUGGCACUCAUCCAUUCCCAGUGAAUCACGGCAUUCGUCGUGUGGGUGUACAGCAGAGUUGCGGACAGGUAUGACAGGCUGACCCCCCCCCCCACGUCCCCCCCUCCCGCAUGUUAGCGGAGAGAGUGUGCGGCCCCGGCGUUACCUGUCAUAACACGGGCUGCCUGGAGCACCGGCCUGACCAGGCCACUGGACAGCCAGAAAUAAUAGAGACUGGCAAGAGGGCGAUGAG